UGGGGAAUAUUGCACAAUGGGCGCAAGCCUGAUGCAGCCAUGCCGCGUGUAUGAAGAAGGCCUUCGGGUUGUAAAGUACUUUCAGCGGGGAGGAAGGUGUUGUGGUUAAUAACCACAGCAAUUGACGUUACCCGCAGAAGAAGCACCGGCUAACUCCGUGCCAGCAGCCGCGGUAAUACGGAGGGUGCAAGCGUUAAUCGGAAUUACUGGGCGUAAAGCGCACGCAGGCGGUCUGUCAAGUCGGAUGUGAAAUCCCCGGGCUCAACCUGGGAACUGCAUCCGAAACUGGCAGGCUUGAGUCUUGUAGAGGGGGGUAGAAUUCGAGGUGUAGCGGUGAAAUGCGUAGAGAUCUGGAGGAAUACCGGUGGCGAAGGCGGCCCCCUGGACAAAGACUGACGCUCAGGUGCGAAAGCGUGGGGAGCAAACA
rnacentral:rRNA from 1 species